rnacentral:rRNA from 1 species
UACCAUGCAAGUCGAGCGGUAGCACAGAGAGCUUGCUCUCGGGUGACGAGCGGCGGACGGGUGAGUAAUGUCUGGGAAACUGCCUGAUGGAGGGGGAUAACUACUGGAAACGGUAGCUAAUACCGCAUAACGUCGCAAGACCAAAGUGGGGGACCUUCGGGCCUCAUGCCAUCAGAUGUGCCCAGAUGGGAUUAGCUGGUAGGUGGGGUAACGGCUCACCUAGGCGACGAUCCCUAGCUGGUCUGAGAGGAUGACCAGCCACACUGGAACUGAGACACGGUCCAGACUCCUACGGGAGGCAGCAGUGGGGAAUAUUGCACAAUGGGCGCAAGCCUGAUGCAGCCAUGCCGCGUGUGUGAAGAAGGCUUCGGGUUGUAAAGCACUUUCAGCGGGGAGGAAGCGUGAGGUUAUACCUCA